rnacentral:rRNA from 1 species
GUGGGGAAUAUUGGACAAUGGGCGAAAGCCUGAUCCAGUCAUGCCGCGUGUGUGAAGAAGGUCUUCGGAUUGUAAAGCACUUUAAGUUGGGAGGAAGGGCAGUAAGUUAAUACCUUGCUGUUUUGACGUUACCAACAGAAUAAGCACCGGCUAACUUCGUGCCAGCAGCCGCGGUAAUACGAAGGGUGCAAGCGUUAAUCGGAAUUACUGGGCGUAAAGCGCGCGUAGGUGGUUCAGCAAGUUGAAGGUGAAAUCCCCGGGCUCAACCUGGGAACUGCCUCCAAAACUACUGAGCUAGAGUACGGUAGAGGGUAGUGGAAUUUCCUGUGUAGCGGUGAAAUGCGUAGAUAUAGGAAGGAACACCAGUGGCGAAGGCGACUACCUGGACUGAUACUGACACUGAGGUGCGAAAGCGUGGGGAGCAAACAGGAUUAGAAACCCUGGUAGUCC